UCCCUAGGUCUCUCCCUGCCAGAGUAAGCAAUAAAAGCUGAUAGUUUCUCUGAGACCAGCAGAGCUAAGCUGCAAAGACUUUCAGAAGAGCUAGGCUGCAAAGAAAACCCAGAGACCAGACCAGCUGCCUGGAAGAAGCAAAGACCAGCCAAGCGGCCUGGAAGAGGUUCAGAUCAGAGUCACUUGGAAAGGACACCCUCUACCCUGUUGAGCUGCCAGCAGGCUGUGCUGUGUGCUCCAGCUUCCCACCUUUUUGUGAGCUGGUAGGGUGGGCUUUGAUGAUGCAGUAGUUUUUGAGUCCUUUCUCCCGAGAAUCACAAAAGUAUCAUCUAUUCAACAUGCUUCCUAAAUCCAUCAAGAGGUAGAAGCCAUACCUGCUCCUGGAACCCAGUGACUAUACUUCCUGGAAGUCCAGGUCGUCUGUGGAGACAGUAGUAACUGAAGAUCCAACCCAGAGCCUUUGCUGAUGUCAGCCUGUCAUCCAGCACAGAUUGUCCUCCAUCUGAACAAGAAAGUGGAUUCUCUUGUCCUGAUAGAAAUUGCCUCAGUGCACACCAAGAAAUUAAGCAUAGUGUGGGUCUGCCAUGCCAGCUGAUGUAGCUCUUCCAUUGUGUACUGACAUGUCUCCAGAUGGGACUUAAUGAUGUUCUGUGCAAUUCGAUCUAUGAGAAAAAAAAAAAAACAAAAAAAAAAAACCCAACCCAUCAAUUUGAAGUUUUGUGAGUAAAAUCUUUCUACUCCAAGAAAUGGUUUCUAGAAGAUGUUCUGUAAGGAUAUAGCUGGUGAUGGACUACCCGUACAAUCAUAUGAAAACAUCUAAACUCCACCUCCUACCUUAAAACUUCCAAACUCUUUAUUGUCUUUCAAUCAAAACUUUUUCAUCUUCUUCUUUGAUGAUAGCUUUGCUAUCUUACAAAUUGUAAAGCAUUCAAAUAACUGCUUGCCUUUAAAACACGUAGUAAA